UACGGAGGGUGCAAGCGUUAUCCGGAUUCACUGGGUUUAAAGGGUGCGUAGGCGGGUAUGAAAGUCAGUGGUGAAAUCUCAGAGCUUAACUCUGAAACUGCCAUUGAUACUCUGUAUCUUGAAUUUCCUGGAGGUUAGCGGAAUAUGUCAUGUAGCGGUGAAAUGCUUAGAUAUGACAUAGAACACCGAUUGCGAAGGCAGCUGACUACGGGUGAAUUGACGCUGAGGCACGAAAGCGUGGGGAUCAAACAGG
rnacentral:rRNA from 1 species